GGCAAGAUGGCCGAGCGGUCUAAGGCGCUAGGGUCAGGUAUCUGACCUCCCAUAUUCAUACGAAUAUUCCUAGUCUCGAAAGGGGCGUGGGUUCGAAUCCCACUCUUGUCA
rnacentral:tRNA from 1 species